CCCAGCUUUAGGUAAGAGAGGCUGGCAGUGCUGCUUCAGUGAGGCACAGAACCGGAUGUCAGAGGACGGCUGCUCCCCCAACACCCCACCCCAGGCUGGGAUAGGACUUUGAUACGAUUCUGUAUCUCGGGGGGAAUCUAUGUGAUGAAAUCUCCUCCGGUUGGCCUCUCCAACGAGCUGACAGGAAUUUCCUGUUCAAACCAGCAGAGGAACUCGGGUUUGCUCCUCCAGGGCCAAUCUUGGUGGGAAAAGGCACAAAAAAGCAAGAGGCAGAAGCUGCCUUUGUGAGUGGACUGCCACUGGUGAGCGUACCUGUGGACCUCAGGGGGACAAAAAAGGGAUGACUUUUGGGAGUGAAAUCUGAUUAACCAGACUUCUAAUAUGCAAAAUAUCAGAAGAUGAGAAAGAAGAGGCAGAGAAAGAAGAAGGAAGAAGAUGGAGGAAGAUGAGGACAAUGAUGAGAAGGAGGAGGAUGAAGAAGAAGAAAGAAGAAAUAGUUUAUGAGGUAGGUCUAAACAGUUCAAGCUUUCAAAGAAAGCCUGCAGAGAA